AGAGUUUGAUCCUGGCUCAGAGCGAACGCUGGCGGCAGGCUUAACACAUGCAAGUCGAACGAUAAGCUAGACUUCGGUUUAGUGGACAGUGGCAGACGGGUGAGUAACGCGUGGGAAUCUACCUUUGAGUGGGGAAUAACAAUUAGAAAUGAUUGCUAAUACCGCAUAUACCCUCCGGGGGAAAGGCUUCGGCCGCUCUUAGAUGAGCCCGCGUACGAUUAGUUUGUUGGUGAGGUAAAGGCUCACCAAGACUACGAUCGUUAGCUGGUUUGAGAGGAUGAUCAGCCACACUGGGACUGAGACACGGCCCAGACUCCUACGGGAGGCAGCAGUGGGGAAUAUUGGACAAUGGGCGAAAGCCUGAUCCAGCCAUGCCGCGUGAGUGAAGAAGGCCUUAGGGUUGUAAAACUCUUUCGACAGGGAAGAUAAUGACGGUACCUGUAUAAGAAGCUCCGGCUAACUCCGUGCCAGCAGCCGCGGUAAUACGGAGGGGGCAAGCGUUGCUCGGAAUUACUGGGCGUAAAGCGAGCGUAGGCGGUUAAUCAAGUUGGUGGUGAAAGCCCGGAGCUCACUCCGGAACUGCCAUCAAAACUGGUUUACUUGAGAUUGGUAGAGGAAAAUGGAAUUCCUAGUGUAGAGGUGAAAUUCGUAGAUAUUGGGAAGAACAUCGGUGGCGAAGGCGAUUUUCUGGGCCAUAUCUGACGCUGAGGUUCGAAAGCGUGGGUAGCAAACAGGAUUAGAUACCCUGGUAGUCCACGCCGUAAACGAUGAGUGCUAGACGUUGGAAAUUAAUUUUUCAGUGUCGUAGUUAACGCAUUAAGCACUCCGCCUGGGGAGUACGGUCGCAAGAUUAAAACUCAAAGGAAUUGACGGGGGCCCGCACAAGCGGUGGAGCAUGUGGUUUAAUUCGACGCAACGCGAAGAACCUUACCAGCUCUUGACAUUGCUAAGUCGCGAGUUUUAGAGAUAAAA
rnacentral:rRNA from 1 species